GAGGAUGUGGUUUGUAAGGAAAAAGUGGCAGGAACUCUUCAGUUCGCGCCGCGAAAAGAGCAGGAAUUGCCAACAGAGCAGCAGAUUGAAGUGGAAGGGAAAAAGGAGACCGAACCAAGAAAGAAGAAGAAAGGAGAGAAAGGUGUGAGCGUCAUUCCAACUCAACAUCUACCUUAUCCACAUGCACCAUCGAAGAAGGACAAUGCUAGACAUUAUGCACGGUUCAUGGACAUAUUAUCAUUCCAACUCAACAUCUACCUUAUCCACAUGCACCAUCGAAGAAGGACAAUGCUAGACAUUAUGCACGGUUCAUGGACAUAUUCAAACAACUU
rnacentral:lncRNA from 1 species